AGGUUAUCAAUUUAAGUCUCCCAGUCGUGAUUUAGGCUUAGUUUGGUAUUGAGGUCAAUCUAACGCUAUUAGAUAAAAUGGAGUUGAGAAAAAGCAUUCAGAGAUAUGCUUCUGCGUUCUCCGAUGAGACCGCAGAAAAUAUAUCGUUAACCGGCUAACCGCAAUAUGCGAAACGUAAUAUUACGUACGAAAACAAACAGGGUAUUUUCCCAUCGUCGUUUCUUACCGCACGUAACGCAAUCUUUCCGCAAUCCCAAACGAAGUCUUAGGCUUAGUUUGGUAUUGAGGUCUAUCUAACGCUAUUAGAUAAAAUGGAGUUGAGGAAAAAGCAUAUAGGAAUAUGAUUCUGCGUUCUCCGGUGGGACCACACGAUAUGCGGAACGCAAUAUUACGUACGGAAACAAACAAAAUAUUUUUCCAUCGUCGUUUCUCACCGCACGUAACGCAAUCUCUCCGCAAUCCCAAACGUAGCCUUAGUAAGUUAACAUCCACAAUUUUACGCAGGUAAAAGGGAUUAUUAAAAUUAUUUUGUUUUACAUUAUUUCUGUCCGAUCGAUAUUUUAGAUAACAUAGAGAUUUAGAUCUUUUAUUUAGUUGG
rnacentral:lncRNA from 1 species